ensembl:lincRNA
AUUUCAUCAUAUGAAUUUUAAUACGAAUUUUAGGGGGGACACCAUCAGACCAUAGCAGUGUUUGACCCCAGCACUUUCUUUUUCCAUCAUCUUGUGAAAACAAAAGGAAAGAAAAGCAGAGCACCAUGCUGCCCCAAGUAAAGACACAUUUAUCUCUCAUUUAUUCAUUCUAUAAACAGCUUUGUGCCCAUUACCAGCUAGACUCUGCAAAGACAAGGAACACUAACAAGUGCCCCUGUCCCCAAGGUGUUUGUAGGUAUAUUAGCCAAGAUGAGUUAACACCUAUGAAAACAACUCUUAACUCUCAAUGAUCUAAUAAGCUAUAAGUUUGUUUAUCCCUUUGUCCCAGUGUACCAUAGGUUGGGGGAAAGAGUGAUCCACACAAACCUCCAGGGACUCAGACUUUCCCUCCUCAGUGGCCCUGUCACCACCAUAUCCUCGGAGGUCUCCAGGCCCUCUUUGUCUGUCCAGCAAAUGAGAGGAGAGAACCUGAAGGAAGACACAGAGAAUUUAAAAAGCUGCCACAUCCGCCCACAUCCCCUGUGCAGAACUCCAUCCCAGGGCCACGGUGGCCUGCAGCAGAGGCUGGAAACCCAUGAAGAAGAGGAGCUUUCUGGUUGGAAGCGGAGAGAAGUAAAUAAGAAGUCCAGGUGCCCAGGGCAGAAGCUGCAAAAUGACAGCAGGCCCAGCGCCGACGGGAAGCAAGUAUGACUUUCCAUGGGCCCACAAGCAGCUCUGAGGUCCUGAGCCUGGCUGGUCUGUGACUGUGGGACAGUAAGAUUCAGGGUUCCAGGAGUGUGAUGGCCAAGAAUCCACACCACCCCUGCCCCAGGCAAAGGACUCAGCUUUCAGCUGCAAGAACACCACAGAAGCCUAUAUAGGGUCUUGGAAGACAGCAGGGCGUCUGCCAACAGAGUCCCGUCUCUCUCUUCUCCUCCCCCUCACUCCUCUCUCCACUGCUUCACUGGACUUUGAAAAAUAUCAUGGAAGGGGCCAUUGGGUCUAGGGCCAAGAAAGGGGCUAAAAACCUCCAUCCUGGGUAACUGUCAUUAACACUAAGAUCAUGAAAGUCAAGAUAAGCCCUCUUCUCCUUGAUCCCCACCCCACCAUGAGAUUUGCAGGGCAAGUCUGGGAGGGAAAAGAAACGAGUCCUGAUAAAUGUAAAUUGACAGGCACCCCUGUUCACAAUCUGUUCUAGGUAUAAUUCCACAUGGCUCCCCCAAGACAAAGAUGUUCCCCUUUGAUGGUGCUGUUGUCUUGGGGAGAGGCGCAGGCACAUUCUGACUGGCCAGUUCUUGCUCCCUAAAAUAGCCUGUGGAC